GCGUUUGAUAGGCAGCACGUCAUCAUAACCCAACCAGAAAAAGCCACUCUGAUUGGCUGAGGCAACAAUCAUUCGGCGCGUACUGCUGAAGCUAGUGGCUGCUCGGCAAAUUUGAGUUAAGCAAUGUUCAGGUUCCAUCAAAUAAAGCGAUCCAAAUUCAUCGUUUUCUAUUCAGUUGAAGGUAAGUUCAGUCCACUUAAAAAUAAUAAUAUGUAUUUAUAGUGUUAGCUGUUUUAAUUAUUUUGAUUGUCUAAACUAAACCUGACAUGGCUACGCUACAAUUAGCAUUGCAUUUCUCAGUGAUUAACAACACGACUGUAUUCCCUUCCAAGAUAUACAAUAUAAUCAUAUAACGUGUAGUUUGAUCUGUUUCUUUGAGAGUACUAAGCACAACGCAACUGUAUUCGCGUCCAUCAUAAAAUAUAAUCAUGCAUUAUGUAGUUUCAAAACAAGUUAUAUGUUUUAAAAAAUGACAUAAUGAAUAAUAUUUGCCAUAUUCUACAACGCCUCUGUGAUGCACAAGCCUUUGAUACCCUGGUAGGUUUUACAUUUCUGGAAGUAAUGGAUUAGCUUAGCAUAACACAAUUCAGUGCUCUCAUACACUGUUAGGUUCCUCUGGGGAGUACCAGUCAACUUUAUCAUAGAUUUAUUCCCAACAGGUUCUACAGAUUGCACAAAUUGGAGGGAAGAACACCAAGGACUGUGUCCACAAAGUCCUUGACAGAUGCAGUCAUGAAAUUUGAUGACAUAGCCACAGAGGACUUCAUUAGGAUGACCACUUCAGAGCAUCUGAAGCAUACACCGCAAAGAAGUGGAGGAGACACAGGGGUCACUCAGGAAUGAUUAUCCAUUGGAGAAUGUUUUGUACUUUGUCUUUCCUGUUUUAGUAUAGUUGCUUAUGGUUUAAUUUUACCACUAAACACAUUUGGUUACGCACUUUAAUUUUUAUUGUUGUACAUAUGUUGUUGUGGUGGGAUGUGUAACUUUUAUAGUUUUUUUUUUUUUUUUUUUUUUUUUUUUUUUUUUUUUGUAUUUUACCACCAAUGUUUUUAGGUUACAAAUGUUUUUAGGUUACGAUGCACAACAUUGAAGUGAUAUAUGCAAGUCAUUAAAUUUAUGUUCCUAGAUUUUAAUGGUAGUUGGCAGGUAAUUUAACUAGUCAAAGCUUAUAAGUGAAGUUUGUGGCAGUUAAAAACAAAGAUGGAAAUGUGUUUGGUGAAUGGUGAUUGAGUUGUGAUUUGAUUUGUAAACAUCUGUUUAACUGUAGUCCCAUGUUUCCAGAAGGUG
ensembl:lncRNA